UUCUGCUUCUGAGAUUGCAUGUGUGUAUUUGUAAUUUUUUCCUGUGCUGAUGACAAAGACGACACAAUCAGAAUUUUUUCCAUCCAGAGCUGGAUCAUCAGUUGUAUUGGACAGUGACUUCUCUACUCUUUCAUCCACCUCCAAAUGUAACCGAGGUAGUUCGAUAAUCUUGUUACCAAAAGGACUACAGAAAAGGAACUCUAGUAUAGUAGAAGUAAUUGAAUAACCAACGCAUUUCGAGAGAAGCAACCAACCAUGUUUUGAAGCACAAAUUGUUUAGUCAUAUUCAUGGAUGGCCGCUCUUGAUUAAUGUUCGCAAUUUGGGCAGAUUUUGAGUUCACGGGUGAAAUUCUUUUUUGAUGACCAGAAAUCGCAAAACCCAAAUCUCCCAUAUCUAUCAAAAUCGAUUAGCCAUGGCGUAAUUGGACCGCAAAGCAAAGCGGGUAAGAUCAACAAUACUAUGAUUUGCGAAUUGUAGUUAGAAAUUACUUUUUGUCUUUUCUCUUUUUUCAUUUUUCCUAUAGCAGAAUAAUCACUGAUGAGAAAUUCUUCCAGCGGCAAACCAAAUGACUUCUGAAACGUAGAAUUUCUAUGAGGUGAUCGGAGAUCCAGCAGUCAAGAAUCAAGCAAGGAGUUUGAUCAAUGUCUACAAUAUUAGAUCCUAGGUUUAAUUUCAGGUUCACGAGAAGAAUUUCAAACACGCAGCACCACAAAAAGCAAUACAACAUUAAUAUCUCCUAUCAAUAUAUGGAAACUUCAAAAAAUUAAAGGAAGAAGAAAAUGUGGUUCAAAGUCCUUACCCUCUUUGCAACCUCCUUUUCCAUUUUGGUCAUAUACAAUCCUCGGUGCUUAUAUUUGAGUGGAAGCAGGGAGGUCAUUAGCGGUAGCAUCAUGGCCUUUUUCAUGCAAAUAAAGAGUUAAUUGAAAAGAAUGUUUUCUGCGCGCACAUAAUAGGGCCACAAUUGUAGAGAAUCAAUAUAUAGAUCUGCACCGAUCCUAAAUGUGUUAAAUUGACAACUAUGCAGUUCAUCAAUGACCAACUUUAUUUCAGAAACUCAAGUUAAGGCUCAAGAGGAAAACAAGGCCAGUCAACUUAGCAAACCAAGAUCAUUUCUUACUUAUCUAUGACUUCCUGAAAACGUAAUUACCUGAAAACUACUGCUGCACAUAUAAGUGGGGAUAUAAAAAUUUAGGCACCUUAUGGUUAAUUAGAAUUGCAUGAUUUAGCCAAGUUAUGUAUUAUAGGUAAGCAAAAUUCAAAAUCUACAUAACUUUUCUGCUUCAACUCUAACAUAUAUCCUAUUUUACAGUCUUCAAAAUUUUUUUCCUAGAAUUUAAGAGAUUGUUGUAAAUUUAGGGAAUUUUGUAUUCUCUUUCAUCAUUAUCCCUAAAUUACAAUAAGCACUGAGAGAACCACCUGAGAUAAUAACAAGCGUCUCAACUAAGCAUAUGCAUUCUAACAUGCAUCAUUUAGUGAAGAGUGCUCUAUAAGCUACUCCAUUUGCUUUACUAUUGUGAUGACAUACCGGAAAAAUAAUGCUCACUUGAAGCCAUAGAUAAGAUCAGCUUUCCCACUAUGGUGCCACUGGAAAUAUAACCCGAUGACACUAAGUUUCAUCCUGCCACUAAGAGGUUGUGGUCAUUUGACAAAAGGAACUCGCCGCCUAACUAGAGCAGAUAUGGCACACAAGGUGCGCAGGUCGGUACAAAGCCCACAUCUCCAAACCAUAAAGUGGUAAGGACUUAUUGAAAACAGAAAAUAAGAUACAACUAAAAUGACAAAAAAAAAAACUGAAAAUAACCUAGCAGCCUAGGAGUGGGGCAUAACCUCUGUAUUCUAACAAGCACUAUUAGUAAAGAGUGUAACAUUGACUACUCCAUUUGCGAUUAUAAUUGUGGUGACAUACUGGAAAAAUAUUGCUCACGUGAAACCAUAAACCAAGAAUACCAACUUUCCCACUAUGUUGCCACCGGAGGAUAUUACCCGACACUUAGUUUCAUCAUACCACUAGGAGGCUGCGACCACUUAAUGAAGUAAGGAACUUGCCGACUCAUUAGGGCAGACAAGGCACACUGAGUGCACAAACCAAGAUAACGCCCACCUAUCUCUACCAAGAAUCGGUAGGAAUUUAUUAAAGCCCUAAGGCAAUGAACAACUAAAUAACAUAAAUAAAAGAAAAAAUCAAACUUAAAACUCAAGGUUGUCCAACCAUACAUACGCAGUAAGGAACCCAAUGACGUGGCCCAACCCCACCCACCAACCCACCAACCCAGCAGAUACCACAAGCCCAACAACCACUCAACUCCACCAGUUCUGCGUCUGCGCCACUCUCACACCACCGCCACCACGCCGACAACUGAUGCAACCAAUGUCCCAACCCUUGAAACCCACCCAAUAGACUAAGAUAGAUCUUGGAAUAGGCCGCACCAAUACCUGAUCAAUGACCUCAAUCACAUUCACCGCUACACACGCAGUAAGGAACAUUAGUCGUCAUUGUUGCCCAUCCCACACAACUACCACAAACUGAUGCCAAACCACCAAGCAACUCCGCCUAUAAAUCCGAUCACCGUUCCGUAAUCCAGAUCAGAAGCGAUCUGAUCUCCACCCCAACGCUCCGCCAACCCGUUUCUAGACACCAUCAUGCCAAACGAUCCCGAUGUUCAACCAUCGAAUAACCAAUGAACACCAGUCCCUUGUGACCACACACGUUGCACGCCAACGAGCACAAAGGCCCACACUGGCAUAGAGGCGCAGCUGGAUGAGUAAGAAAACAAAGGAGAAGAAAUGUUGCGGGCAAGCUCAUUGGGAAGGUGUAUACGUACAUUUUGGAGCGAUGGGUGUCUACCUUCUUGCUGUUACCUUUUUUGGAACCUUCUGGCCUUAUGGACUAAGAUUGUGGGAGCACCUUUUGCAAGAACUUCUGGACUGGUACAGAACCUCGGAUAAUCAGUUUCUAGUGAUAUUGAGGCACAAUAUUCAUGGAGUGUAUGUAGUUGGACUUGCAGCUCUAAUAUUCAUGAUCAUAGUACAUUCCGUAUGGCCUCUUUUUGCCUUUUUUGAGAAGAAGCAAACCUAUACGCUAGGUCUGGAUGACCUUGACAGGUUUGUCAAGACCAUUGCAGAGCUACUCGGUCGAUGCUAGGAUGACAUACAUUUUAGGUAUACACAGAUGCAGUAAUCCCGAAUUCCCUUAUCCCCUCUCUGAUCACUUGUUUGCUCUUACAAUUUUUCGUUCAGAAAUAUUGUUGUAAUCACACACCUUUCCGUUCAGAAAUAUUGUUGUAAUCACACUCCUUUCCAUUCAAAAACAUUGUUGUAAUCUCACACCAUGCAGACAUGAAUGUAUUUUUACAUAUAUGAACAUCUACUUUUCCUAUGGGGAUUUCACUCUCUUUUGUUCUUCUUUUUCUCUAUUCUUCACUCACACGACCCAAAAUUGCAUAGAAGAAAUUUGAUAUAUUCGUAACAAGUUCACUGUCAAUGCCACAAUACCUAGGGAAAAUCUCACUCGGACAAUCUUCAGCCAAGGCCAAUGACAACAUCGUUUCCAUAUUGAAAAACUCACUCUACUUCUUCAGUUGGUUUUGGACAAUUUCCAGUCUAAUAUUUGAGAUUCUAAUUUGUUUGAUUUAUAUAAAGCUACAUAGUUUCGUAAGAUUAUGGGACAUAAUAUAAUGUGCUUGCCUUGUUGCAACCUAGCUUGUAUGAAGUGUUGAACCAUAUUAUAAAUUGAAUCAGAUAUCGUUUACUCAUCCAAAUUGUAAUAAACAAAUGCAUGGUUGUGACAAUUACUACUAUUGUAAUGAAUUAGUGUAUGUGUUUUUUUUUUUUUUACGAGAAUAGUGUAUGUGUUUAAUAUACAUAAUUCCAAUUUAAGUGACUUUUUACAGAGUUGAUCCUUGCACUUAAAAUCUGUUUCCUCAAAGAAAAUUGUGCACCCAGUGAACCUAAGAAUUAUCCCUCUAUUAUAAAUUCAAUAAUAUGGUGUACCCAGUCAAAAUGGGGAUUCAAGCCCAAUUAGCCAAUCAAGCCCUGACAGCUAUUCUCUCCGAACAAACAUCUUUGGCAAGAGCACCAAUCAACCCAAAAGACAGCACAUCAACCAAGUCUCCGCCCAACACGACUAAAACCCGGUCUAAUAGCUUAAAGACUGCUAUAUAUGUGUUAAUGUUCCAAGUUUCCAACCCGAUAUCCAGCUUCAUGUCGAUCACAAAAUUGUAAUCUAGUCUUCCUCCGACCCAACAUAGUCCUCUCUAGGACUACCUUUUUAUUUAGGGACUAAAAUAAAGUGAGCCAAUUGCAUAAACUUAGAAUUAUAUUUCUAUUGAUCAUGAGAAAAACACUUGAAAUUAUAUUAUUGUGAAAGACCAAGUCACCAACAAGAAGUAAAAUAUUCUAUUUCAACUUCCAAAACUAUUAUAUAUCAGGUAUUCAUAGAAAUACUCAAAUACUUCAAUUUUUCUGGGGGGGGUCAUGCAUGAAGAAAGCUAGGCUCUUGAGGCACACCUAAGGUUGCUUAAUACCUUGGCAAAAUGUCGACUAAAGUCUGUGAACUUGUCUUAGAAGCAUCCUCUGGACCAGUACUUUGUCUUUUUCAAAAGUCAUUCCUUCUUAUUAGGAUGAUAGGAUCAACUAGCCACCAACUGGGGCAACCAUAUAUAUUCGUUCCCACAUACCCUCUUGGUCAUAUAUCUUACAACUAGCCUUAUAGUUAUAGCGACCCGAGAGAACAAAUAAGGUCAAGCACUCAGAUUAUUGAAUUGCUCUGGUCGUCCAAUAAAAUCAUGACACGUGACAAAUUCUAUUUCUUAUUUGAUGAUUUUGCAAUAUGCAAUUAGGCAGCUUAACCAAAACUGUUUUCCGACUUGGUCCACUUAGAAAGUUCGUGUCACUUAUUUUUCAUAAUUAUUUGAUGACUUUAUUUUAAAGCCAUAUUAUUCCAAUCCCAUUAAGUAUUCUCAAAUUUUCAGACCAAGCUGGCAUUUCAAGUUCAAAGCACAAGCGCUCCAGAAUAUUCCCCCAGCAAACAGGCCACCUGCAAAACACAAAAAUCAUUAACACAAAUAAUUAAAGACUAAUAAAUAAUAAUACGAUAAACAAAACAGCUAAUUAAAACGGGCGUAACCGAAACGGUAACGCGUCAAACGAGAAACGACUUGUAGUUGCAAAAUUUUGUCCGCUAGUGAGCAGUGACACACCAAUUACGACGGCACGUGGCAAGCAUGGAGAGAACGUUCUGGACAGCAAUGACUUAACGGCCGUAACCGGAGACCAAACUGACAAAAGUUAUGUACCACAAUUCCCGGCGCAACUUAAUAAAGCGCCGCCCGUAUAUUUUUGUCAUUAUACCACACCUCGAAAAUAUGAACCAAAAAAUGGAAGAAAAAUAGAAGUAAAAUCCUCUCUCGAAUUCACAACAAACACGAAAUUCCCAUAUUUUUGUUUUCCUUAAAUUCCGGAUUAAUUUUCUUUUUUUUUUCGUCA